rnacentral:rRNA from 1 species
GACGUACGCUGGCCGCGUGCUUAACAAAUGCAAAUCGUACGGAGUGGCGAACGGGUGGGUAACACGUGGGUGAUCUGCCUUGCACUUCGGGAUAAGCUUGGGAAACUGGGUCUAAUACCGGAUAGUGCAAGAUGAGCUCGCGGCCUAUCAGCUUGUUGGUGGGGUAAUGGCCUACCCAGGCGUCGACGGGUAGCCGGCCUGGGAGGGUGUACGGCCACCUUGGGGCUGAGGUACGGCCCAGACUCCUACGGGAGGCAGCAGUGGGGAAUAUUGCACAAUUGGCGCAAGCCUGAUGCAGCGACGCCGGGGGGGGGAUGAAGGCCUUCGGGUUGUGAACUCCUUUCGACAGGGACGCGGUACCUGUAUAAGAAGCACCGGCUAACUACGUGCCAGCAGCCGCGGUAAUAC